CGAGAUAAAUCUUUUAAAGUCUAGUUAAUCUAUUAUUAGAUACAAAUUAUCAGAUAAAAUAAAAAUAUUAUAUUAUAUAUUAAAUUUUAACACUCCAAACAAACAAACAAACUAAACGCGGCUACUCGUGGAAAAAGUCGUCAGCUAUUCUGCUGCCCUGCCAUGGUCAUGGAGGUUCGGUCAGGACACUGCUCCACCCGCACAUGUGGGUUGGCCAGCCCUCGUCGCUCGUCAGGCAACAGCAGGAUUCGGCCGGAAUUAGGCCCAUGCCCAUCGGUGCUGAACUGCUUAAUCAGCACCAAUCAGCAUAAGCGGACAGAAGUAGCCCAAACAGGUUGUUGGGCUGUUAUUUGAGCACGCACGAUUUUGUGUCCACUGCAGCAAGCCUUGUUGACUCACUGGCCCGUAUACACUAACGUUUCAGCCCAACAAAAGCAUAUUUGGUUCAGGUAUUUUUUUUUCAUGUUCUAUUUUCAAGUUAGUUUCAUUCAUCAUUAAACAUAAUAAUGAUAAUGUAAUUUAAAUAUUUCAUGAUUUUUUUCUUAAUGUUCUGUGGUAUCUGUAGCAUUUUUUUUUAUACUUGAUGUUUCAUUUUAGUUUGUUCUACGUGAAAUUCUAUUGUCCCAUGUGUAUACUUUUUAGCCUAAUUCUCAGGCACCUUGGUGGCAGGGUGUGAACCUAAGUGGCACAUUGCUACAAGUUUAAGGCCACCAGUGUAUUUAAGUCAUAACUUUUUUGUUUCACAUGCUUAUAUUCAACGUCCUGACUAAUUUAUAGUAAUAUUUACCAAUCAUUUUACAACAGUGGUUGCACAUCCAUAACGUUUAGUUUAAGGCGCACAAACUUUUCCUUCUGCAAAUUUUUAUUAUCUGCUCCAGGUGUAAAAAUUUUGUAUACCUAUUGUACAAUUUUUAGUUUUAUUAUUAUUUUUCUUAAUAUACAUUAUUUCUCUCUUGAAGACAUAACAUUUUUUCUGUAGACUUGGAAGGACCUAUUUAUAGCCAUAAUAUUUACUCAUGAAGCUGGAACUUUUUUCUUCCCAAUUUUUACCCCGUGAAGCUAGAUCAUUUUUCUCCUUAAUUAAUUAGAAGCAGUUUUCUCGUGAAGCUAUAACAUCUUCUAGUGAAGUAGAAUAAUUUUCUUAAGAACCUACUAGAACAUUGUCCCAAGGCUCCCAACAACUUAAUGAUCUCUUUCCAUGUGUUGACACCAUUUUUGGGCACGUGUCUAGGAUGGCAGGAUAAGGUGGCAGUACGAUGCGGGUUGCUGAUAAGGAUGGUUGCCGAUGAGGGAAAGGUUGAAUGUGACUAAGUCCUCAGGCAGUAAUACGGUGCCGAUGACCAAGUAAAAAGGUCUGCCGAUGACUAUGGCAAGGGGAUUGCCGAUGACGCGAAGGAGGAGUCCGGAAGCUGCCAGUUGUCAUGUGGAGGAGUUUCGGUUUGUUACGAAGGAUGGUUUUAUUAUUUCCUUAGUUAUUCGCAUCGUUUUGUAUACGGGUUCCGUGUAAAUUGGAAUUCGAAUUCUAAUCGUGUCUGGUCAUAGCUCUUUGAGCAGGGUAUAAAUAUAAGCCCUAGGACCUUGUAAUCAGACAUCUAUCAAUCAAUCAAACACACGUUUUUACUCAUAUUCCAGCAUCACUUUUCGACGACUUCGUCAUACUUUUUCCCUUUUAUUACGAGUUCUUAGGAAUUCGUCGACUUAAGCUCGGCGUGUUCUCAAGUUCCGCGUGAGUACCUCUUAGCCGUGACAUCCGGGCGUAUCGCUGUUGUCAGGACUAAAGUAUUCGAGUUAUCACCUUUGUCGAUAGUAAGGUCAAAUCGGCUGGCACGCCUUAACGUUUGAAUCGGGUAUUAGCCUUUUGUGUUUGCAGAUCAGUUUUGCAUCAACACAUCUUUUGGCACGCCCAGUGGGACAGAUUCAAGAUCAACAUGUCGAUCUCCGACCUCGAUCAAGACAACGUCAUCCCCGUGACGGAAGCUAACCUCA
rnacentral:lncRNA from 1 species